GGUCAAUGGGCGAAAGCCUGAACCAGCCAUGCCGCGUGAAGGAUGACAGCCCUAUGGGUUGUAAACUUCUUUUGUACGGGAAGAAACGCUUCUAACGUGUAGAGGUUUGACGGUACCGUACGAAUAAGCAUCGGCUAACUCCGUGCCAGCAGCCGCGGUAAUACGGAGGAUGCAAGCGUUAUCCGGAUUUAUUGGGUUUAAAGGGUACGUAGGCGGGAGCUUAAGUCAGUGGUGAAAUCCUGCAGCUUAACUGUAGAACUGUCAUUGAUACUGGGCUUCUUGAAUGUAGUUGAGGUAGCCGGAAUGUGUAAUGUAGCGGUGAAAUGCUUAGAUAUUACACAGAACACCGAUUGCGAAGGCAGCUUACUAAACUACGAUUGACGCUGAGGUACGAAAGCGUGGGGAGCGAACAGGAUUAGAUACCCUGGUAGUCCACGCUGUAAACGAUGAUCACUCGUUGUUGGCAAUACACCGUCAGCGACUGAGCGAAAGCAUUAAGUGAUCCACCUGGGGAGUACGACCGCAAGGUUGAAACUCAAAGGAAUUGACGGGGGCCCGCACAAGCGGAGGAACAUGUGGUUUAAUUCGAUGAUACGCGAGGAACCUUACCUGGGCUUAAAUGUAGAACGACGGACCGGGAAACUGGUCUUUCUUCGGACGGUCUGCAAGGUGCUGCAUGGCUGUCGUCAGCUCGUGCCGUGAGGUGUCGGGUUAAGUCCCAUAACGAGCGCAACCCUCAUCAUUAGUUGCCAGCGGGUAAUGCCGGGGACUCUAAUGAAACUGCCGGUGUAAACCGAGAGGAAGGUGGGGAUGACGUCAAGUCAGCACGGCCCUUAUGUCCAGGGCUACACACGUGUUACAAUGGUCGGUACAAAGGGCAGCUACCUGGCGACAGGAUGCUAAUCUCGAAAACCGAUCUCAGUUCGGAUCGAAGUCUGCAACUCGACUUCGUGAAGCUGGAUUCGCUAGUAAUCGCGCAUCAGCCAUGGCGCGGUGAAUACGUUCCCGGGCCUUGUACACACCGCCCGUCAAGCCAUGGAAGCUGG
rnacentral:rRNA from 1 species